GGUGGUUCUCGUGUGACUCUCCCCAGAAUUGGGCUCCCUCCUCUCUGGUUCCAGGUGUGUCACCCGAGAACCACA
rfam:Myotis brandtii contig266216, whole genome shotgun sequence.